rnacentral:rRNA from 1 species
CCUACGGGCGGCUGCAGUGGGGAAUAUUGCACAAUGGGCGAAAGCCUGAUGCAGCAACGCCGCGUGAGCGAUGAAGGCCUUCGGGUCGUAAAGCUCUGUCCUCAAGGAAGAUAAUGACGGUACUUGAGGAGGAAGCCCCGGCUAACUACGUGCCAGCAGCCGCGGUAAUACGUAGGGGGCUAGCGUUAUCCGGAUUUACUGGGCGUAAAGGGUGCGUAGGCGGUCUUUUAAGUCAGGAGUGAAAGGCUACGGCUCAACCGUAGUAAGCUCUUGAAACUGGAGGACUUGAGUGCAGGAGAGGAGAGUGGAAUUCCUAGUGUAGCGGUGAAAUGCGUAGAUAUUAGGAGGAACACCAGUGGCGAAGGCGGCUCUCUGGACUGUAACUGACGCUGAGGCACGAAAGCGUGGGGAGCAAACAGGAUUAGAUACCCUAGUAGUC